GCUUGCUCACGGGCUUUCUAUCAUAUCCAUAACACCUGUGCACUUGUUGGAUGUCUAGAGACGUAAAGUCGACAGUCAUCCACUUACACUAAACAAUAAUGUAACAAAUGUAGUCUUAUUAUAACAAAAUAAAACUUUCAACAACGGAUCUCUUGGCUCUCGCAUCGAUGAAGAACGCAGCGAAAUGCGAUAAGUAAUGUGAAUUGCAGAAUUCAGUGAAUCAUCGAAUCUUUGAACGCACCUUGCGCUCCUUGGUAUUCCGAGGAGCAUGCCUGUUUGAGUGUCAUGAAAACCCUCAACCUUAGAUUGGUUAUUUGACCUUUCUUUGGCUUGGAUUUGGACGUUUGCCGAUGUCAAGUCGGCUCGUCUUAAAAGUAAUAGCUGGAUCUGUCUCGCGACAUGGUUUGACUUGGCGUAAUAAGUAUUUCGCUAAGGACAUCUUCGGAUGGCCCUGUUGCAGGACUAAAGACCGCUUUCUAAUCCAUUGAUCUUCGGAUUAAUAUUCAUAACAUCUGGCCUCAAAUCAGGUAGGACUACCCGCUGAACUUAAGCAUAUCAAUAAGCGGAGGA
rnacentral:rRNA from 1 species